rnacentral:rRNA from 1 species
UCUUCGGGGUGAGUGCAGACGGNUGAGUAACGCGUGGGAACGUGCCCUUCAGUUCGGAAUAACCCAGGGAAACUUGGGCUAAUACCGGAUACGUCCGAGAGGAGAAAGAUUUAUCGCUGAAGGAUCGGCCCGCGUCUGAUUAGCUAGUUGGUGGGGUAAUGGCCUACCAAGGCGACGAUCAGUAGCUGGUCUGAGAGGAUGAUCAGCCACACUGGGACUGAGACACGGCCCAGACUCCUACGGGAGGCAGCAGUGGGGAAUAUUGGACAAUGGGCGCAAGCCUGAUCCAGCUAUGCCGCGUGAGUGAUGAAGGCCCUAGGGUUGUAAAGCUCUUUCGGCGGGGACGAUAAUGACGGUACCCGCAGAAGAAGCCCCGGCUAACCUCGUG